CGAGUAUGUCAUUCUAGUGUUCUCUGCCUUUGACGUGCCUUUUGGGCUGAGUUGUUGCGUUCGUCAGAAAACUUUGCAUCCGCCAAUGUCUACGCCUUUAUCAUCACGCGUCUGGAUUGGGCAGAAUAGUGCGUCAUGAGGAUGACUGCUUACGUCUGAAGGUAUAACUUGAGAUUCCGAGUUACAACAAUUGUUGUCAAAGUUAGCUUUUGAAUUUCUAGUAGCUGGUUUCCGCAUCGAGAAUAACUUUUGAAUUGUGGAAUACAGGUAGUCGGGCCUCCAGCUCUUCUCGUAUGAGGAUAAAGCUUAUUACUGCUUCAGAUACCAUCAAACAUGUGAAUAGGUCAUCCGCUAGUAGGGAGGUGAUGUCAGGUUCUUCUUCAAGUCCUUUAAUGCUUUCUCACACUCGUCGUCCUUUUUGUCUU
rnacentral:lncRNA from 1 species